UAAAUGCGCUUCGGAGUCCGGAUCUGAAUCAAAUGUUUUGCGAACUCCGAAGGCCCGAUCAUAAGAUUCGCGAAACGAUCUUCGGAGUCGCGAUAUGAAUCAAAUGUUUUGCGAACUCGCUCCAAAUCCCAGAUCUCAAGUUAUUUUCCAGUGAAAGCGCUACAGCGUUCAUUCGCUUGCCGAAAAAUAGCGGAGACCAAAAGUAUUCAGAUGUGUAUAGUGUGCCUUUGUGUUCUAAUUUAAAAAAAAAAAAAACUUAUUUAUCAUUUCAUAGUUUUCCCACCUACGAAAAUAAAAAUAAGCGUUGAAUUGGGCUAUAUGGUGAGAGGAGGAGACGACAAUUACUCUGAGGAAAGGUACUUUAGUGUGUGCUAAGCCCUUCACGGAGGAUGAGGUCCGUGUCCAACCGGAGUACGGUCGAUCUCGCACCGUGGGCUGUGCCUUCCAGGUUUGCGUGGAAAAGUUGCGGAGACGUUAAAUCACGCGUCAUAACGGGCUGUUUGUGGUGCAGAGCAGUAAAUGUCCAGAUGGUCCAGUCCCAGGCUCCGUGGCCGUGCACAAACGCAGUGACGAACUUCCGCUGUCGCCAGAAGUCGACCAAGUAUAGGUCUCUGCAGGAAAGUAAUUUGUGGUUUUAAGAAUUUGUGGUCAGAUAUAAAUAAAUAUGUAAUUCCUAAUAAAGUUAAAGAAACUCACUUUAAAAUAAUAAACAGAUACUAUCCAUGUAAUGAUUUUAUUGGUAAGUUUAAAGAAGGGUUUUUGCCAUUAUGUAGUUUCUGUAAAGAAGAAAAUGAAACAAUUGUACACUUAUUUUUCAGUUGUAAUUAUACUAAAUUAUGGAUACUAUUAUUAAACUUCUUACUCUGUUAGGAAAAUAUCAUACAUAAAGCAAAAUGUAUAUCGACUGUACCAAAUGGUAGAUUUCUGAAGAUUUUUUUACGACUCUCUACCUUCAAUACAGAAUAAUCGAAAAGCUCUAAAGACAUUAAAACUGCUGAAAAGGAUACUUAAUGUAUUAGAAACAUGAUUGAUAUGUUAUACAGUAUGCAUCUUAUUGCUUUACAGAUUCACAUGUCUCUGUUUUCCCCUUUUUUGUUAUCUCAAAAAAAAAAA